CGGGCAGGGGGCUCUGCCCCGACAGCGGCCGAGAUUUCGGACGUGUAACCACGGUUUUGGAAAGGAGGCAGCCCCGGGGGGGGGCUCGGAGAAGGGCCCGCUGCCCAGCACCGAUAGCUGCAGGCAGGGAGCUACGCGCAGGUGUUGCGAACUCUCAGUGUGGGAUCGCAGACGGGGUUAGAGAGAGGCGCAUAAAAAAGGGCAAAAAAGAGAAAGGGAGAAACGGCUCUGUUCGGAACGAGGCAGCUAAGAGAGAAACGGAUCGAUCAAUCGCUGAUCCACCGAUCAAUAAUCGAUCGAUCGAUCCGUUGGGUUGCUUCACGGGGAAAAUUUUCCAUCCGAGCCGUCAGUCUGGCACACGCCCACACUUUGCC